AAGUCAUCUUAGAUGAAUUGUCUUGAAUGAAAUUCAGUGUUGACUCGUUAAAUUAAUAUAUUAUUAUCUCGUAUGAGAAUUAAUAUAUCAUCGAAGAUGAUAGUACACUUCUUCUAUAAAAUAUAAUUGAUCAAACUCUCAAUUUCAACCUAUUAUGGAUCAAGCUAUAUCAAUUUCAACCUGCAACGAGUGUUUUGGAACCAUUAUAGAAAUUCACAAGUAAAUUUGAUGGGAUCAGAUGUGCUUCAGAGGUGCUUCGCUAACCAGCCACUUGAAAUCAAAGAAAGGAAGAUAAAAAUGAGAUAUAAAAAAGUAAUCAAAAAUAUAAGGACAAUUUCAAUUCUG